AUUGAACGCUGGCGGCAGGCCUAACACAUGCAAGUCGAACGAGUGGCGGACGGGUGAGUAAUGUCUGGGAAACUGCCCGAUGGAGGGGGAUAACUACUGGAAACGGUAGCUAAUACCGCAUACCAUCGGAUGUGCCCAGAUGGGAUUAGCUAGUAGGUGGGGUAACGGCUCACCUAGGCGACGAUCCCUAGCUGGUCUGAGAGGAUGACCAGCCACACUGGGAAUGAGACACGGUCCAGACUCCUACGGGAGGGAGCAGUGGGGAAUAUUGCACAAUGGGCGCAAGCCUGAUGCAGCCAUGCCGCGUGGAUGAAGAAGGCCUUCGGGUUGUAAAGUACUUUCAGCGAGGAGGCGGUACUCGCAGAAGAAGCACCGGCGAACUCCGGGCCAGCAGCCGCGGUAAUAC
rnacentral:rRNA from 1 species